ACAGUAAAACUGAGCAGGCGAUGCCUCAAAAGGCGUAGGGCCGGGCCGCUUUGCGGGCGGCAGCAGAUUGCAUUUUAUGCACAUCUGUGGGACAGUU
rnacentral:ncRNA from 2 species